GACGAACGCUGGCGGCGUGCUUAACACAUGCAAGUCGAACGGACAGACAGAGAGCUUGCUCUCUUGAAGUUAGUGGCGAACGGGUGAGUAACGCGUAAUCAACCUGCCCUUCAGAGGGGGAUAACAACGGGAAACCGUUGCUAAUACCGCGUACGAUUCAUAAGCGGCAUCGCUUGUGAAUGAAAGGUGGCCUCUAUUUAUAAGCUAUCGCUGAAGGAGGGGAUUGCGUCUGAUUAGCUAGUUGGAGGGGUAACGGCCCACCAAGGCAAUGAUCAGUAGCCGGUCUGAGAGGAUGAACGGCCACAUUGGGACUGAGACACGGCCCAA
rnacentral:rRNA from 1 species